rnacentral:rRNA from 1 species
GGCGAAAGGGAGAGUAAUGUGUGGAUACCUACCCUCGGGUCCGGGAUAGCUGUGGGAAACUGCAGGUAAUACCGGAUAACAUCCCCGGAUCAAAGGUGUGAUUCCGCCUGGGGAUGGGUCCACAUCCUAUUAGCUUGUUGGUGGGGUAACGGCCUACCAAGGCGACGAUGGGUACCGGGUGUGAGAGCAUGACCCGGCUCACUGGGACUGAGACACUGCCCAGACACCUACGGGUGGCUGCAGUCGAGAAUCUUCGGCAAUGGGCGAAAGCCUGACCGAGCGACGCCGCGUGUGGGAUGAAGGCCUUCGGGUUGUAAACCGCUGUCAGAGGGGAUGAAAUGCCGGGGGGCUAUCCCUCCGGUUUGACAAAUCCUCAGAGGAAGGACGGGCUAAGUUCGUGCCAGCAGCCGCGGUAAGACGAACCGUCCAAACGUUAUUCGGAAUCACUGGGCUUAAAGGGUGCGUAGGCGGUCCGGCAAGUUGGGUGUGAAAGCCCUCGGCUCAACCGAGGAAUUGCGCCCAAAACUGCCGGACUA